UUCUUCAGACCAGAGUCUUCUCAUCUGCAUGUGUUAAGGAUUAAAACAUACUUUGUCAGGCAAAGCUACAAUGAAGUGUCAUUAAUACUUCAAUUUCAAUUUCAAUUUCUGGUUUACAUAACCCAAGAACUUUAAAAAUAAAGAUAAAAAAAAGGAAAAACUAAGUUCUGAGGAAUAUUAUUUGAGAAAAAGGAAUCAUUGUAAGAUACAUUGACUAGUAAGUAAGGGACCAUUAAUUUGCCUGCACUGUGGUGCCAAAUUUUAGGGGGGAAAAUUAUCUGAACUUUGUUGUCAAAUAUAUUUUCAUAAAAAGAACUUCAGAUUUCAACAAGAGAUAUAACCAUGCAUUCAAAAUUUAGCACAAGCAACACAACAUCAUAAGCAAACUUUUCAAUCAUGUUAAACUUUUAUUCGUACAGAUUACAGGAGUGCCAGAGAACCUACUUCAG
rnacentral:misc_RNA from 1 species